AGGGGAAACGGGUGGAGAGAGAGAGAGAGAGAGAGAGAGAGAGAGAGAGAGAGAGAGAGAUCAGUUCUGAGAUCCAAGAACUGGUUUUUAGGAAAAGUAGAGGAUAGGGAAAUAAAAGGAUUGCCCCCCAAAUCUUUUUUCUUUCUUUUCUGUCUUCUUUCUUUCUCCUUCUCUCUCUCUCUCCUUCUCUUCCUGUCCCUUCCACUGUCUUUCUUCUCCAUCUCCCAACUCUUCUUUCCCUCU
rnacentral:sRNA from 1 species